AUUGAACGCUGGCGGCAUGCUUUACACAUGCAAGUCGAACGGUAACAGGCCUUCGGGUGCUGACGAGUGGCUGACGGGUGAGUAAUGCACCGGAACGUGCCCAGAGGUGGGGGUUAACGCAGCGUAAGCUGUGCUAAUACCGCACGUGAUCUGAGCAUGAAAGCGGGGGACCAGGCAGCAAUGUUUGGCCUCGCGCCUUUGGACCGGCCGAUGUCCGAUUAGGUAGUUGGUGGGGUAAAGGCCUACCAAGCCGACGAUCUGUAGCUGGUCUGAGAGGACGGCCGGCCACACUGGGACUGAGACACGGCCCAGACUCCUACGGGAGGCAGCAGUGGGGAAUGUUGGACAGUGGGCGCAAGCCUGAUCCAGCAAUGCCGCGUGCGGGAAGAAGGCCUUCGGGUUGUAAAGCGCUUUUGUGCGGAACGAAAAGGCUCUGGCUAAUACCUGGGGCUGAUGACGGUACCGGAAGAAUAAGCACCGGCUAACUACGUG
rnacentral:rRNA from 1 species